UGGGCAGUAGUCCAGGUGAAACUACACAUGACCACACAGCUGGGCAGUAGUCCAGGUGAAACUACACAUGACCACACAGCUGGGCAGUAGUCCAGGUGAAACUACACAUGACCACACAGCUGGGCAGUAGUCCAGGUGAAACUACACAUGACCACACAGCUGGGCAGUAGUCCAGGUGAAACUACACAUGACCACACAGCUGGGCAGUAGUCCAGGUGAAACUACACAUGACCACACAGCUGGGCAGUAGUCCAGGUGAAACUACACAUGACCCCACAGCUGGGCAGUAGUCCAGGUGAAACUACACAUGACCCCACAGCUGGGCAGUAGUCCAGGUGAAACUACACAUGACCCCACAGCUGGGCAGUAGUCCAGGUGAAACUACACAUGACCCCACAGCUGGGCAGUAGUCCAGGUGAAACUACACAUGACCACACAGCUGGGCAGUAGUCCAGGUGAAACUACACAUGACCCCACAGCUGGGCAGUAGUCCAGGUGAAACUACACAUGACCCCACAGCUGGGCAGUAGUCCAGGUGAAACUACACAUGACCCCACAGCUGGGCAGUAGUCCAGGUGAAACUACACAUGACCCCACAGCUGGGCAGUAGUCCAGGUGAAACUACACAUGACCCCACAGCUGGGCAGUAGUCCAGGUGAAACUACACAUGACCCCACAGCUGGGCAGUAGUCCAGGUGAAACA